rnacentral:rRNA from 1 species
GAGUAACACGUGGGCAAUCUGCCCUUCACUCUGGGACAAGCCCUGGAAACGGGGUCUAAUACCGGAUAACACUCUGUCCCGCAUGGGACGGGGUUAAAAGCUCCGGCGGUGAAGGAUGAGCCCGCGGCCUAUCAGCUUGUUGGUGGGGUAAUGGCCUACCAAGGCGACGACGGGUAGCCGGCCUGAGAGGGCGACCGGCCACACUGGGACUGAGACACGGCCCAGACUCCUACGGGAGGCAGCAGUGGGGAAUAUUGCACAAUGGGCGAAAGCCUGAUGCAGCGACGCCGCGUGAGGGAUGACGGCCUUCGGGUUGUAAACCUCUUUCAGCAGGGAAGAAGCGAAAGUGACGGUACCUGCAGAAGAAGCGCCGGCUAACUACGUGCCAGCAGCCGCGGUAAUACGUAGGGCGCAAGCGUUGUCCGGAAUUAUUGGGCGUAAAGAGCUCGUAGGCGGCUUGUCACGUCGGAUGU